rnacentral:rRNA from 1 species
GAUAGCUUGCUAUCAAUGCUGACGAGCGGCGGACGGGUGAGUAAUGCCUGGGAAUAUGCCCUGAUGUGGGGGAUAACUAUUGGAAACGAUAGCUAAUACCGCAUAAUCUCUUCGGAGCAAAGAGGGGGACCUUCGGGCCUCUCGCGUCAGGAUUAGCCCAGGUGGGAUUAGCUUGUUGGUGGGGUAAUGGCUCACCAAGGCAACGAUCCCUAGCUGGUCUGAGAGGAUGAUCAGCCACACUGGAACUGAGACACGGUCCAGACUCCUACGGGAGGCAGCAGUGGGGAAUAUUGCACAAUGGGGGAAACCCUGAUGCAGCCAUGCCGCGUGUAUGAAGAAGGCCUUCGGGUUGUAAAGUACUUUCAGUUGUGAGGAAGGCGUUGAUGUUAAUAGCUUCAGCGUUUGACGUUAGCAACAGAAGAAGCACCGGCUAACUCCGUGCCAGCAGCCGCGGUAAUACGGAGGGUGCGAGCGUUAAUCGGAAUUACUGGGCGUAAAGCGCAUGCAGGUGGUCUGUUAAGCAAGAUGUGAAAGCC